AUUGAACGCUGGCGGCAUGCUUUACACAUGCAAGUCGAACGGUAACGGGGACUUCGGUCUGCCGACGAGUGGCGAACGGGUGAGUAAUAUAUCGGAACGUGCCCAGUAAUGGGGGAUAGCUCGGCGAAAGCCGGAUUAAUACCGCAUACGCCCUGAGGGGGAAAGGUGGGGGAGUCUUCGGACCUCACGUUAUUGGAGCGGCCGAUAUCAGAUUAGCUAGUUGGUGGGGUAAAGGCCUACCAAGGCGACGAUCUGUAGCUGGUCUGAGAGGAUGAUCAGCCACACUGGGACUGAGACACGGCCCAGACUCCUACGGGAGGCAGCAGUGGGGAAUUUUGGACAAUGGGCGAAAGCCUGAUCCAGCCAUUCCGCGUGCAGGAUGAAGGGCCCUCGGGGUUGUAAACUGCUUUUGUACGGAACGAAACGGCCUUUUCUAAUACAGAGGGCUAAUGACGGUACCGUAAGAAUAAAGCACCGGCUAACUACGUGCCAGCAGCCGCGGUAAUGUCGAUA
rnacentral:rRNA from 1 species